rnacentral:tRNA from 1 species
GGAAGGGGCCGUGGCUUAAUGGUAGAGAAUUUGCUUAGCAUGUAGAAAAUCCUAGGUUGAAUCCCUGGCAUCUUCCA